GUAAUAAUCCGGGCGGGUAAGAAACGGAUAACAGAUACUACUCGGGUAGUUACCAGAUAAUUGUCGGGUAGUUCGUCCCGAUGAUAUUAAUUGUCCAACCACCCAACAAAUACAUAAAUUAAGCAAUACAUAAUCAUGUAUAUGAUAGAUCAAAUGUAGGAAAGGAAAUCGAUAAAUUUGACAUCAUGCAGUUCAAAGUUACUAAUUACAAGAACAUUGUAGAACCAACACCGCAAUAUUAAAAAUUCAUAAAAUAUUUUAGUUUCACUAAAAAAUUGUAAAUAAGUUACAAAAACAAAUAAACAUUUUAUACGAAGAUAACUCAAGUCCUCAUAUGAAAAUGAUAAAGUAAAGUACUGAUUAUGUUGAAACUUGGAUACUUAUAGUGAUUUCACAUGUAACUCAUAUAAAUAAGUGAACGUGAAAUGGAAGAAACACGACCAUCUUAUAGAUCUUAUGAUCCAAACAUUUUUUAUGGUUAUAUAUGAACAUAUGUUGUGCCUCCGUAAAAUUUCAUAAUUUUUUGAGGCUAUUUAUAUAUUAUUAAUUUCUUGUCGUAGAAAAUCAUCAAAGUACAAUUAAAUCCAUCAAAUAACGUAGCGUCGACCGAAAAUUACAAAUAAGUUACCAAUACUAAUAAAUAGUCUAUACAAAGAAAAUCUUAAGUCUCACGUGGAGAUAACCUUAAGCCCCCCACAUAAAAAUAAUAAAGUAUAUUAAUUUAAUAUAAAUUUGGACGCCUAAAUAUAUGUUUAAACAAAAAAUGAUGUACUACAAAGUUAUAGAUCUCUUCGAGCUCUACAAUUUUCAUAUAAACUUUAUCUUCAUCCGAUUUCAUAUGUAAAAAACUAUAUUAUUAU
rnacentral:lncRNA from 7 species